rnacentral:tRNA from 1 species
GGUAGUAUGGCCGAGAGCCAGGCGGAAGGCUGUAGAUUUUCAUAGGGGCUAGAUGGGAGGCCCUGCUACCA